UACGUAGGGGGCUAGCGUUGUCCGGAUUUAUUGGGCGUAAAGAGCGUGUAGGCGGCCAGGUAGGUCUGGUGUGAAAACUCGAGGCUUAACCUCGAGAUGUCAUCGGAAACCAUCUGGCUAGAGUCCGGAAGAGGAGAGUGGAAUUCCUGGUGUAGCGGUGAAAUGCGCAGAUAUCAGGAAGAACACCAAUGGCGAAAGCAGCUCUCUGGGCUGACACUGACGCUCAUGCACGAAAGCGUGGGGAGCAAACAGG
rnacentral:rRNA from 1 species